CAGAAUUAUAUUUAAUUGGUUGUCACCAAUGGAACCAAAAUGACUUCAUUUGGUUUCAACCUGGUCAGAUAUAGAUUUUCAAUGGUUACCAGGAAGGAAAUGUGUUUAUAAUCAGAGGCAGAGAAAAGGAAAUGGUUAUAGCUGGUUACAAAACAAGCAUAAAACCUCCACACUGUUUCUCAUGUUACAAGAGCAAAUAGGAAAGAAGCCACAAAUGGGGAUGGUAGCACAGAGUGUGUGUUGGGUAAACACUAGAGAAACGGGAGAAUGUUCUGGGUCUCUGCUUUUUUCAUUAUAGAAAGGCAGCAAGGGAAGCCGCUGAACAGAGUACAAGGCUGUCUGCUUACUAACUCACCCUCACAGGUAAUAGAAAAUCAAAUUCAAGUUCCAUUGUGCCCAGGGGCUCUUCACUGAUACAUCAGUAAUGUGCCUGCCCUGACACUUUAAGACUGGUUACUCUUAUGAGGAAACUAAGGCAAGAAGAAACUAAGGCAGAGGAGGUGGGGAGUGGAGCAGGGUCACAAACUGACCUUUGGUUACAAAAGAAAAACAAGACAGUGUUACUAACUGACCAGGGCCAUGAAAGGUAGUAAACACAGCCAGGGCAAAGUAGAGAGCGUGCAAGCUAACCCCAUUGCGACAAAUACUCACACAAUUUGGUGAUACGAAAUUUCUAGCAAGUUCCUCAUUGAGUAAGCUGUUGUCACAAGUAUAUUUUGAAUGGGUUCAUAACAAUGUGUAUGUGCUUUAGGUGGGCAAGACAGGGGCAAAUGAGUUUCAUGAAUAAAUGUGCUACUUGCUUGCCUGAGGUAUUAAACUUUAAAAUAAAAUGCUAUCUUCACUCUGUUUCUGGCACGAACAAAUACUUUACUUUUGGCAGUUCUCAUCAAAAGUUAAGUGUCACCAUUUGGCAAUGUCUAUCAGAAUGAAAACUCACAUAUCCUCUGAUUCUGUAAUUCCACUUUAAGGAAUUGAUUCUGUAGUCCUAGUCAUACAUAUGUGCAAAAGUAUGUUUGUGGAAGUAAAAAACUGAAAACCACCAUUAUGUCUAUUCAGAAGAGGCUGGGUAAAUUAUGGGACACUCAUAUUAUGAAAUAUAGUGCAGCUGUACAGAUUUGCAGCAAACUUCACAAUAUCUGUUAAGUUUCACUGAAGAAUGUUAGAGUAUAUGUAAGGAAGGGGAGGGGAAUACACACACACAAUACACACACACACACACACACACACACACGCGCACACACACACACACACACACACACUAGGGCAGGGGGCCCCAAUCCCCAGGCAGCAGACUGGUACUGGUCCAUGGCCUAUUAAGAACCAGGCCGUACAGCAGAAGGUAAUAGGUAAGCGAAUGAGCUCUGCCUCCUGUCAGAUUAGCGGGCAUUAGAUUCUUAUGGGAGUGUGAACCCUGUUGGGAACUGCCCAUGUGAGGGGUCCAGGUUGUGCACUCCUUAUGAGAAUCUAAUUAAUGCCUGAUGAUCUGAGGUGGAACAGUUUCAUCCCAAAACUGCCCUCCACCCAUGCUGGUCCGUGGAAAAAUGGUGUUCCACGAAACUGGUCCCUGGUGACAAAAACGUUGGUGACUGCUGC
rnacentral:lncRNA from 10 species